rnacentral:sRNA from 1 species
ACCAUCAUUUUUGACAUACAUUUGUAAAUUUAUUUCGUCAAGUGAUCACAUGUUGAUAAUUUAGAUGAGGACCUGCGCAGCAGCAGAGGCGCAGCUGAUUGGAGCGGAGUUGGCCAAACGCGAAGGGUAGGCAAAAGGAAGCAAUCUCAGAAGCAGCAUCGAUACCAUUGCUGUUCCUGGCGAUAACCUGGCUACUGGUGGCGGUCACAACUGGAGCGGGAGCAGCUACCACGGCAGCAGGAGCAGAGUAGGCCAGAGGAGCAGAGUAAGCCAGAGGACCAGUGUACGCCAGGGCAGCACACAGGACUCCAGGCUUGGCAGCAGCGCAGGCGACGGUUAUCAGGACAAGGACGGCCUGUAAACAAAUCAGCUUGAUUAGUUUAAUCCUCUAUGGAUCCUUUCUGAAGAACGUACGUAUUUGAACAUGGUGAAAUAUUUGUUUGGUUUGCUUCUUCGGAAGCCUAGAAACUCUUGAUAUCCCACUGCUCUUCGUGGAGCAUAUUUAUACCCGAAUGUUUGCUCAGAUCUGACUCAUGAUCGCACUCAUUCAGUUCAUUUAAAUGCGGUGACAGUCUCCCGUUACCAUUUACCAUCUACCAUUUUCACUUUGCCGUAGUUUAUGUGAUUUCCCACUGCUGACUGCAGAAUGUGGAAUAACUCUUGGUGGCCACGGAAUGCGAUGGCCUGAGAUCACAGGCGCAGUCCCGAUGCGGCGCAUAAAUAGUGGUAUGGAAUGUGUUGGGCGACAUCAGGUUCAAGUUUUCGAACCGAAAGCACCAGAUCCAUAAUCCAAAUGUUUAAAUCCGACGUCCUUGUCUUGGCCAUCGUCUCCUGCUCUGCUGCCAAGCCUGGACUGCUUUGGACUACACUGCUCACGUGGUUCCUCUGCUUCACUCCGGUCUGACUGUCGUGGUAGCUGCUCUCGCUCCAGUUGUGACCGCUGCCAGUUAUCAGGUUAUCGCCAGGAACUACAAUGUAAUUGCUCUUGCUCCUGUGAUUGCUCCUGUGAUUGCUCCCGUGGCUUUUCUCUGGCUGUGCCUCUCUUGGCCCAGUACGCAGCCGCUCCUCUGGCUGCUCCAUGACCUACUCCUCGCCUUUGGCUUACUCCGCACCACUGAGCUACGCCGUUCCAUUUACACAGCUCCCUAUCUAAAUUACUAAGCUGUGAUCACCUCGGAGACAAUGAUAAUAAAUGGAGAUAUAAUAAGACGUUAUUCAAUUGUAUAUUCUUUUGCAAACACGCUUCAAAUUAGUAUUUAUUUUAAUGAAAAAUUAUAUCUGAACGUACACG